UUCCCGCAACCAAUGCUCCACAUCACAGCCGUAACCUCCUUCCAAGCCAAAUCCAGAGCCCGUCCCAACCUCCCUCCUGAUCAUGUUCGUUACCAAACUUCAUCCCAACUCCCCUUCUUCAUCCAAACUCCCAGCCUAGAUCCCCUCCACGGAUAAGCUCUCAACAACGUCACCAGAUCAUCAUCUCCCGUGUCCCACAACAAAACCAAGCAAUCAGCCGAAUCCAAACCUCCACGUCCUUNNNNNNNNNNNNNNNNNNNNNNNNNNNNNNNNNNNNNNNNNNNNNNNNNNNNNNNNNNNNNNNCCCCUGUUUCGGAACCACUCCCAGCCGGCAUGCCAGAUUGACUCAAACCAAUCCAAGCAUCCCACGAUUGGCCAUCCAUGGAUCACGUCCCAGCUCCCUUGUUCCUAGCCGAAGGAUUCUUCCAAAGAUCUUCCUCCCAGCCGAGAUCCGAUCCUCUCAACAUUUUGAAAUCCUCCCACGUCCGCCCAUUCGCAUGAGAUCCUCCCAACCUUCUCCAAGAUCUUGCAGUUCAUCCUGUUCGUAAUAAGCACCCAGCAUACAUGGGAUAUGAUCCAGGCGUCUGUUCACUGCAUCACAAUCUUCUUCCGGAUCAUUCCAUCAUCCAAGAUUUCUUUCUAACUUCCUCCCAGCGAGUCCCAAGCCAUAUAGAAACAAGUCUAGAUUAGUAUCUAAACUUCCCCUCCAUUCCGUGUUCAUCUUCAUCUCGUUCCUUCCGGGUCCAACAAACAGGGCUCUGUUUCGCAACAGAGCUAAGAUCCUCCACGUCUUCCGCAGUCCAAACAUCUCCUCCGGAUCAACUUCAUCCUGAAUUCCAUGGAUUAACAGCAUCCCCUCUGUUCGUAAGAUCAGCAUCCACGGCACUAUCCUUCCAAACCAAGUCUUCAUCCCGUUAUGAUCCCCUUCUUCAUUCAAAUCCCAGCAAAUCAAAACAGCUUCUUCCCAACUCUCGAAUCAGCUACAAAUCUCAGCGAAGCCAGCACCCAUGACGCGUCCGAGUACUCCGCGAUUCGACUCCAUCCGCAAGUGAGCUUCGUGAGGCUAUAAAAGGAGAAGACUCCUCUUCCUUGGCGGCAGCUCUGGGAGGCAAAAUCCGGCUGAGAGGAGUCCCACGGGAAACAGAGGAGGGAGAGAAAAGUUUGGGUCAUUUUGGGAAUGAUUUCCCAAAAGAAGAGAUGACGAUGUGCUGAAAGCUGACGGGAGGAAGGAGGGAAAGCCAAUUAUUAUUAAGUCCCGCUGCUGUGCCACUGCUGCUGUCGCCCACAACUCCAUGGAAGCUUGAUCUUCUCACUAGGGCUGGAUGCAACCCUAACAAAG
rnacentral:lncRNA from 1 species